rnacentral:rRNA from 1 species
GACGUAGGGCGCGAGCGUUGUCCGGAUUUAUUGGGCGUAAAGAGCUCGUAGGCGGCCAACUAAGUCAGACGUGAAAUCCCUCGGCUUAACCGGGGAACUGCGUCUGAUACUGGAUGGCUUGAGUGUGGGAGAGGGAUGCGGAAUUCCAGGUGUAGCGGUGAAAUGCGUAGAUAUCGGGAAGAACACCCGUGGCGAAGGCGGCUCUCUGGGACGGGUACUGGACGCUGAGACGGCGAAAAGCGUGGGGAGCGAACAGG